rnacentral:rRNA from 1 species
UGUUGUAUUGUUGUUGUUUGAUGCAUAUCGUGCGGUAACAGAAAGAAAGCUUGCUUUCUUUGCUGACGAGCGGCGGACGGGUGAGUAAUGCCUAGGGAACUGCCCAGUCGAGGGGGAUAACAGUUGGAAACGACUGCUAAUACCGCAUACGCCCUACGGGGGAAAGGAGGGGCUCUUCGGACCUUUCGCGAUUGGAUGUACCUAGGUGGGAUUAGCUUGUUGGUGAGGUAAGAGCUCACCAAGGCGACGAUCCCUAGCUGUUCUGAGAGGAUGAUCAGCCACACUGGGACUGAGACACGGCCCAGACUCCUACGGGAGGCAGCAGUGGGGAAUAUUGCACAAUGGGCGAAAGCCUGAUGCAGCCAUGCCGCGUGUGUGAAGAAGGCCUUCGGGUUGUAAAGCACUUUCAGCGAGGAGGAAAGGUUAACGGUUAAUACCCGUUAGCUGUGACGUUACUCGCAGAAGAAGCACCGGCUAACUUCGUGCCAGCAGCCGCGGUAAUACGAGGGGUGCAAGCGUUAAUCGGAAUUACUGGGCGUAAAGCGUACGCAGGCGGUUUGUUAAGCGAGAUGUGAAAGCCCCGGGCUCAACCUGGGAACUGCAUUUCGAACUGGCAAACUAGAGUCUUGUAGAGGGGGGUAGAAUUUCAGGUGUAGCGG